GAUGAAAUCGAAGAGAAUAGAGGUAACUUGAAGAAGAUAAUCGUAAAGAAGCAUCUUUCUUACUCUAUAACUCUCUCUAGAUCUCUCUCUCUCUCUGUGUAUGCUUUUUUUCGUUUCUCUCUAAUUUUAGGGUUAGCCCACAAAAUUUGAAGAUCUGUUUAAUGUUCCUUUGCUUUAUAUUUCUCCUAACCGUUGGGAUUUGAUAACAUUAUAGAUUAAAUCUAACCGUUGGGAAUUUGAUAUUAUAGAGGUAAUCUUAAUUAGAUUCGAUUUCCUUUACUAAUAAUAAUAAUAUCAAUCUAACCAAAAAGGAAAUUUCGAUUUGGUUGAAACCUUUUGUUUUUUUGAUAAUAUAACACGUUUACAAAGAAUCAUCUAUUUUUCUCACACAAUUUUUAUCAAAAAGUAAGAGAGAACAUGAUGGAUGAUGAUGAUCAGUUUAAUAAGGUGAAGAGUUUCAACUCCAUUCCUAAUUUUAUUCAAAGUGGUUUGUUUGUAUACAAAACAGAGUCUGUUCCUAACAUAUGUUGUGGUGGUUGCUACAGGCAAUCUUGGUUCGUGAAGCAGAAGCAAGAUUCUACUGCACACGUUGAUAUCACAGGCUAUCAAUGCUGGUCUCUGUGUCAGAGAGAGAAGUGGCCUGAUGCCCACAACAAGAAAGCAGGAGCACAUAGUUUCGAAGCAAGCAAUGAAACACCAAUCUUAUAUGACAUUUUUGGAAGACAGCAUAUGUUGAGAGAUUCUCAGACAUUUCAUCCUUUCUUUCUCUUGUCUUCUCUCCUUGCAAACUCAUUAGUUCGUUUUGGUUACUUGGUAGUUUUAAUGUUAUUGACUAAAUCAGUUUUAGAUGAUUCUGUUUCACUUUUUAACAAGUCAAUCAACUUAUGGUUUGAAAUAGAGGUUCGUAGCUCUGAAGAAAGAGCUUAUAGACAAGGUUCUGAUGCAUAAAGUGUUCUUGGAAGAUAUGCUAUGAGAGUCUUUUAGUGAUGUCCUCAUAUUUCUUUGCCUAAAUCCCUUCUUCUAAACCGUCAAAAAAUAGCCUUUGUUGGUUGGCCGUUUCAGACGUUACACUCACCAUCAAUUCUCUCUAACGUG